GUGUCAGCAGCCGCGGUAAGACGUAGGGCGCGAGCGUUGUCCGGAUUUAUUGGGCGUAAAGAGCUCGUAGGCGGCUUGUCGCGUCGACUGUGAAAACCCGCGGCUUAACUGCGGGACUGCAGUCGAUACGGGCAGGCUAGAGUUCGGUAGGGGAGACUGGAAUUCCUGGUGUAGCGGUGAAAUGCGCAGAUAUCAGGAGGAACACCGGUGGCGAAGGCGGGUCUCUGGGCCGACACUGACGCUGAGGAGCGAAAGCGUGGGGAGCGAACAGGAUUAGAUACCCUCGUAGUCC
rnacentral:rRNA from 1 species